rnacentral:rRNA from 1 species
UGGGGAAUCUUGCGCAAUGGGGGCAACCCUGACGCAGCCAUGCCGCGUGAACGAUGAGGGCCUUAGGGUUGUAAAGUUCUUUUGCCCGUGACGAUGAUGACGGUAACGGGAGAAUAAGCUCCGGCUAACUUCGUUCCAGCAGCCGCGGUAAUACGAAGGGGGCUAGCGUUGUUCGGAAUUACUGGGCGUAAAGCGCGCGCAGGCGGUUCGAUAAGUUGGGGGUGAAAUCCCCGGGCUCAACCCGGGAAUGGCCUUCAAGACUGUCGAGCUAGAGGACGAGAGAGGUGAGUGGAAUUCCCAGUGUAGAGGUGAAAUUCGUAGAUAUUGGGAAGAACACCGGUGGCGAAGGCGGCUCACUGGCUCGUUUCUGACGCUGAGGCGCGAAAGCGUGGGGAGCAAA